rnacentral:rRNA from 1 species
UACGUAGGGUGCAAGCGUUAAUCGGAAUUACUGGGCGUAAAGCGUGCGCAGGCGGUUAUGUAAGACAGGUGUGAAAUCCCCGGGCUUAACCUGGGAACUGCAUUUGUGACUGCAUAGCUAGAGUACGGUAGAGGGGGAUGGAAUUCCGCGUGUAGCAGUGAGAUGCGUAGAUAUGCGGAGGAACACCGAUGGCGAAGGCAAUCCCCUGGACCUGUACUGACGCUCAUGCACGAAAGCGUGGGGAGCAAACAGG